GACGAACGCUGGCGGCGUGCCUAAUACAUGCAAGUUGAGCGCUGAAGGUUGGUACUUGUACCAACUGGAUGAGCAGCGAACGGGUGAGUAACGCGUGGGGAAUCUGCCUUUGAGCGGGGGACAACAUUUGGAAACGAAUGCUAAUACCGCAUAAAAACUUUAAACACAAGUUUUAAGUUUGAAAGAUGCAAUUGCAUCACUCAAAGAUGAUCCCGCGUUGUAUUAGCUAGUUGGUGAGGUAAAGGCUCACCAAGGCGAUGAUACAUAGCCGACCUGAGAGGGUGAUCGGCCACAUUCGGACUGAGACACAGCCCAAACUCCUACGAGAGGCAGCAGUAGGGAAUCUUCGGCCAUGGACGGAAGUCUGACCGAGCAACGCCGCGUGGGUGAAGAAGGUUUUCGGAUCGUAAAACUCUGUUGGUAGAGAAGAACGUUGGUGAGAGUGGAAAGCUCAUCAAGUGACGGUAACUACCCAGAAAGGGACGGCUAACUACGUG
rnacentral:rRNA from 1 species